rnacentral:rRNA from 1 species
AGAUUAAGUUAUUAAGGGCGCACGGUGGAUGCCUUGGCACUAGAAGCCGAUGAAGGACGUUACUAACGACGAUAUGCUUUGGGGAGCUGUAAGUAAGCUUUGAUCCAGAGAUUUCCGAAUGGGGAAACCCAGCAUGAGUUAUGUCAUGUUAUCGAUAUGUGAAUACAUAGCAUAUCAGAAGGCACACCCGGAGAACUGAAACAUCUUAGUACCCGGAGGAAGAGAAAGAAAAUUCGAUUCCCUUAGUAGCGGCGAGCGAAACGGGAAGAGCCCAAACCAAAAAGCUUGCUUGUUGGGGUUGUAGGACACUCUAUACGGAGUUACAAAGGACGACAUUAGACGAAUCAUCUGGAAAGAUGAAUCAAAGAAGGUAAUAAUCCUGUAGUCGAAAAUGUUGUCUCUCUUGAGUGGAUCCUGAGUACGACGGAGCACGUGAAAUUCCGUCGGAAUCUGGGAGGACCAUCUCCUAAGGCUAAAUACUCUCUAGUGACCGAUAGUGAACCAGUACCGUGAGGGAAAGGUGAAAAGCACCCCGGAAGGAGAGUGAAAUAGAACCUGAAACCGUGUGCUUACAAGUAGUCAGAGCCCGUUAAUGGGUGAUGGCGUGCCUUUUGUAGAAUGAACCGGCGAGUUACGAUUUGAUGCAAGGUUAAGCAGUAAAUGUGGAGCCGUAGCGAAAGCGAGUCUGAAUAGGGCGUUUAGUAUUUGGUCGUAGACCCGAAACCAGGUGAUCUACCCUUGGUCAGGUUGAAGUUCAGGUAACACUGAAUGGAGGACCGAACCGACUUACGUUGAAAAGUGAGCGGAUGAACUGAGGGUAGCGGAGAAAUUCCAAUCGAACCUGGAGAUAGCUGGUUCUCUCCGAAAUAGCUUUAGGGCUAGCCUCAAGUGAUGAUUAUUGGAGGUAGAGCACUGUUUGGACG